rnacentral:misc_RNA from 1 species
GAUGAAGAACGCAGCGAAAUGCGAUAAGUAAUGUGAAUUGCAGAAUUCAGUGAAUCAUCGAAUCUUUGAACGCAUCUUGCGCUCCUUGGUAUUCUGAGGAGCAUGCCUGUUUGAGUGUCAUUAAAUUCUCAACUACACUGACUUUGAAUUGGUGUGGCUUGGAUUUGGGGGGAAAAUUGUUGUGGGCUUUUUGUAUAGUCUGCUCCCCUGAAAUUGAUUAGCGGUACCUUUGUGGAACUGUCUACAGGUGUGAUAAUUAUCUACAUCUGCUGGAAUGCUGCUUUCUAAACCUUACUUGUAUUGACAAUCUUGACCUCAAAUCAGGUAGGACUACCCGCUGAACUUAAGCAUAUCAAUAAGCGCAGGA